GUGGUAAUUCUAGAGCUAAUACACGCAAACAAGCUCAGACCUUACGGAAUGAGCGCAUUUAUUAGAACAAAAACCAAUCGGACUUCGGUCCGUCAUUUGGUGAAUCUGAAUAACUUUGCUGAUCGCACGGUCUUCGUACCGGCGACAUAUCUUUCAAAUGUCUGCCUUAUCAACUUUCGAUGGUAGUUUAUGCGCCUACCAUGGUUGUAACGGGUAACGGAGAAUAAGGGUUCGACUCCGGAGAGGGAGCCUGAGAAACGGCUACCACAUCCAAGGAAGGCAGCAGGCACGCAAAUUACCCACUCCCGGCACGGGAGGUAGUGACGAAAAAUAACGAGACGGCUCGCUAUGCGGUCCGUCAUCGGAAUGAGUACAAUUUAAAUACUUUAACGAGGAUCUAUUGGAGGGAAAGUCUGGUGCCAGCAGCCGCGGUAAUUCCAGCUCCAAUAGCAUAUAUUAAAGUUGUUGCGGUUAAAACGCCCGUAGUUGGAUUUUCGGAUUUGGAGAACGGUCUGCCGAUGGGAUGUACUGUUCUCCUGUACUAUUU
rnacentral:rRNA from 1 species